GGGCGUGUGGCUCAGUUGGUAGAGCGUUCGCUUAGCAUCCUGUACGGGUCUCUGUGCGAGUAGCUCAGGGUAUCAAAAGGUGUAUGCGAAAGGUCCUGGGUUCGAUUCCCAGCCCGUCCA